UGUUCAUUACCUGCGCUUGUGAAUAGGCAGAAAAACCCGCCAUUUUAAACCAGAUUUUCAAGUAGGUCUUGGCCACCCAAAUAUCAUUUUUUGUAACUUGACCUCCUAAUGUCUUAGGAUCUUAAAAUAUUUUUGGCCUCAUUUAUUUAAAAGAAAGUCAUGCGAGAGAAAUACCUGUUUGUGUGUUUCCUGGUAUUUGUGGACGCUACCCCCAGAAACGCAAGUUUCAGACCAUGCGAAGAACGGGUUGGAGAGUGCCCUCCAGGCCAAAUACCAAACUGCCUGCGAAAAAACAGGAGGGAGCACCAUUUUGCGUGUUCCCCGGCGAAACAAGCUUGUUUCCUCCAGUGGUCAAGACAAUGCGAAGACGCCACUAACUUCUGUUGUAGUCAUUAUCCGACCUACUGUGAUUGUCAUUGUGAGGUCCCGCUCAGAUUGCCGCCGCUUCCAAUACCACUACAACAACAUCCGCGCAAAAAGCGCGGGCCAGGAAGAAUCUAAUUGUCUAAACAACUUUCAACAGCGGAGAAGCUUGGCAAAAUUCCGGUGUGCAACGCUACAUCUGGUUGGGUGAGGAGGAGCUACGUCUCUCGCGAGCAUAGCGUGCGCCGCGCGCUAUGCUGCACCGCUAUGCUCGCGAGAGAGGAGUCUGGACACUGACGUCAUAGCUGCGCCGAGCACGUGUCAGCAGAGUCAUUUGACCGCGCUAAUGAAAGCGGGCGCGCGGCGGCGCCCGGGCAUUUCUCCGCCCUACCGAGAUAUGGCUCGACAUGAGCGCACCUUGACGCCGGAAGAAGAGGCUGCCAGACGAGAGAAGUGCCUUCAAGCCACGCGGGAAAGGAGUCGCCGUCUUCGUGCCGAUCCAGCCUACCUCGCCAACAAAGCCGCCGAUAUGCGACGUUGUCAAGCCGAUCCGGAAUACCUAGAACGCGAGAAUCAAGCCAAGCGUCAACGCCGCGAAAGCGACCCCGGCCUGCUAGGCUUAGGCUAGUUGCUGUAAAGUAUCAUCAUCAAGAUACUCGGAGAUGAAGAGCGAGAGAAUGGCUGCUUGGCGCGAGCGCUCGCUACUUCACUUCUUCAAUAAACCAUUCAUGUUCGAAGCAGUCACCGGUCUCGAUCGUUUUAACAAUGGUGCCAUGACCAUAUAAUCUAUUUCCCUGCAGGAAAAGAUGUAACUGCAGACACCUAUUGGAUACGACAAACACAAGUACUACUCGGGAAGACAAGUGGCGAUGCUAAGUCAAGCACUAAACCCUUUAAAAUAAAUGGACAAGAAGUAUACUGUGACGACAAAGGACUCAUAAGACAGAAAGGACGCUUGCACUACAUCCAAGAAUCAAGCCGGCACGUUAUCGUACUUCCAAAGGACGAGUAUUUCACGUGACUACUGAUACGUCACGUUCAUAAAAUAAUAUUGCACGGCGGAGUUCAAGCAACGCUAACGCAACUACGGAGUAAGUUCUGGAUAUUUCAACGUCACCAAGCUGUAAAAAGAGUUUUAAACAAAUGUAUAGUAUUGCAAGAGGCAGCCACUCAAACUAUGCCUCCCCUCCCGGCGGACAGAGUUAACGAAUCGGGGCCAUUUCAAGUCACAGGAGUUCACUUCACCGGAACACUUUAUGCGAGAAGCAAACACGAGAUUGUAAAACAAUACGUAGUAAUUUUCACCUGCGCGGUAACGAGAGGAGUACACUUGGAGAUGACCAACGACAUGUCGACAUCCAGUUCUUUACAGUUGCUAAGGAAAGUCACCCUGCUACGCUGUUUGUUCAGACUUGGCACCGCUAAUGUCAAGCGGGCCGCAUUUUAUUUUUAAUUGUGCCCAUAUCGCAUGGUGUGCUGGAGUUGAGAAAUACAUUGAUGUAUGUUGCAGCAACAAAUAAAGGUGUUCCUACU